rnacentral:lncRNA from 1 species
AAAAAAGGAAUGAAAGGAUGAGAAAAGAAUUCAUUAAUUAUAUUUUUUGAGUUUGACAAGACCUUCGGUCUUAUGCCUACGUACCAACAUAAAAAUGAGGGAUCAAAACACCGUAGUUCGUGGUAAAAGACCUUUAAAUGAGGUUGUUAGUUCUUUUUGUCUUUUGAAAUUAAAGUCAAUAUGGUUAAGUUUAUUUUACAAGUUUGAUUAAGAUUUUUUUUUAUAAAUUCAAUGACAUAAGGCCAAAGUUUCUAAUUAUUAAAACAUGUCUAAGUUUGAAAUCACAAGCAAAGAAGGUUUUGAAAAGAGGGAGAUAUUUUGAAAUUAAAGAAGUGGGAGGAGAUGAAGGGACUACCCUAGGCAAAAAUUAAAAUUUAAGAGUUGAAAAGAUCUGACCAAUAGGAUGCAAUCCACAAGACAAGAAUGUCAUAUAGAAACCCAUUUCCUUUGGACUUUUGAGCAAGCAAUCAUCAUAAGCAAACAUCCAAGCAAAUCAUAUGAAGACCAAGGCAUCAAAUAAAGAUAGCCAUAAUAUCCAAG